GUAGUAUCAAUCAACCCGAAUCUAUACUUGUUUCGCCCAAUGAAACCACGGGCACCAAUACUCCAUACGUAAAUCACUAAACCACAAAAUCGUAAUGAGGAACCAUACAAAUUUUAAUGGCGUAGUUUUUUGGCAGAAUUGAAUUUUUCCCUACGUCAUGGUGACUCCAUUUGUGAGAUAAUUGUAAUCACAUCUGAAUACCAAAAUACCUCAUGAAAUUGGGUGGAAUCCAAUUAUUUUGAGCAUUAGAAUCAGCUGAUUUGUUACUGGGUACUCUUAUCUCGAAUAUAUCGAAUUUCAACACUUGUUGGCACGUAAAAUAAAACGAUGAAAACGUAAACAAGAACAUUUACGACUUUUUUAAAUACUGCGGAUUCUAGACAAUAAUUAUGAAGCGGAAACUGGCAACAGCUUUGAUAAACCUAAAAAAAGUAAUUCGAGGAAGUCAUUAAAUGUGACGACCUUUUCGGCUCCCACGGAAAGUGUUCCACCAAUAUUGGAAACCAAUGCUGUGGUAGAACCAGUAAUUGAAACUAUAGCAUCGGUAAAAGAAAUAGAACCUAUAGAACCACCAAAGCAACAAGAGCCUUCAGGGAUGGAAUUUAUGCAAGAGGAGAUUUCGGAACGAUUUUCAAACGAAGAACUUUAAAGUUUAAAUCCAUUAUAAUGUGCAAUUUUUAAAUUUUUUGUUUUAAAAUACAUUAUUUGGUUA